rnacentral:rRNA from 1 species
GACGAACGCUGGCGGCGUGCUUAACACAUGCAAGUCGAACGGAAAGGCCCCUUCGGUGGUCCUCGAGUGGCGAACAGGUGAGUAACACUUGCGUAACCUGCCCUUGACUUCGGGAUAACUUCAGGAAACUGGGGCUAAUACCGGAUAGGAAUCCUUGCUGCAUGGUGGGGGUUGGAAAGCUUCGGCGGGUUUGGGUGGACUUGCGGCUUAUCAGCUUGCUGGUGGGGUAGUGGCUUACCAAGGCUUGGACGGGUAGCCGGACUGAGAGGGCGACCGGCCACAUUGGGACUGAGGGACGGCCCAGGCACGUACGGGAGGCAGCUGUGGGGAAUCUUGAACAAGGGGCGGAAGGCGGAUGAAGCAGCGCCGCGUGUGGGAUGACGGUCUUAGGGUUGUAAACCGCUUUCAGAAGGGGCGAAGCUUGUGGUGACGGUACCUGCAGAAGAAGCACCGGCUAACUACGUG